UUACGGGAGGCAGCAGUGGGGAAUAUUGGACAAUGGGGGAAACCCUGAUCCAGCGACGCCGCGUGGGUGAAGAAGGCCUGCGGGUUGUAAAGCCCUUUCGGUAGGGACGAAAGCUCUUGCUCUAACAAAGCAGGAGGUUGACUUAACCUACAUAAGAAGCACCGGCUAACUCUGUGCCAGCAGCCGCGGUAAUACAGAGGGUGCGAGCGUUAAUCGGAAUUACUGGGCGUAAAGCGUACGUAGUCGGCUUGUCAAGUCGGGUGUGAAAUCCCCGGGCUCAACCUGGGAACUGCAUCCGAAACUGACUUGCUAGAGUAUGGGAGAGGGAGGCGGAAUUUCUGGUGUAGCAGUGAAAUGCGUAGAUAUCAGAAGGAACAUCAGUGGCGAAGGCGGCCUCCUGGACCAAUACUGACGAUCAGGUACGAAAGCGUGGGGAGCAAACAGGAUUAGAUACCCCGGUAGUCCG
rnacentral:rRNA from 1 species